GAGCUGUGGCUGGCCUCCCCUGGGACAAGGUGGCGACAAGCAUCAGAUGCUGAAGUCUUUACGACCUCUUGCCUGCAGCAAUGACCAUAGCCCUUCCCUGUGGGCUCCGGACCUUGGGGUCUCCCCUCCCAACCGUGCUCCACACUACGCCUUGGCAGCCCAGGAGGACCAGAGGGGACCUGCUGCAGGAGAUGCAGGUAUAAUGCCCUCAGACUCUGCCCAGCAGCCAACCCAAGACCACAUGCUCCCCCAAGGCUUCAGAAAGUCCCUGAGCCCCCGAGGGGAGAAAGACAGAAUCCUGGCUUUCUGGACAUUCUGGGCCCCUGCCCCAUGAUUGGCCUCUGCUGUCACUUUCACACCCUCACCAGCUUUAUCUUCCUAUAAGAAGGCCCCAGGCUGGACUGAUGUUCUUCAGAGGGACAGAGAUGAAGUGUCCUGACCGCUGUUCUCAGCUCAGCCAAAUCCUCCUCAAGCCCUGCCCCUUUGUGAAGCCUUUCCUUCCCUUUCCAGCCUGAAAAUGAUCUCAACCUGUUCUGAAGUCAAAGCGUUCAUUGUCUGAACCAUUCCUUGGCACUUGGGGGUCUAGGACCA